rnacentral:lncRNA from 1 species
ACAAAUUUAUAAUUUGAAUUUUAAUUCAUAGCAGUCAUAAUUCAAAUAAUUAAAGCUAUAAUUAAAAUUUAUAAAUUAUAGCCGUAAUUCAAUGUACACAUCAGAUUCAUGUUCAAAUGGCACAUACAUCAGACUAAAGGUCAGUUUAGAACCAGAUUCAAGGUCAGUUUGGAACCAAAACUUUAAAAAAAAUCUAUAUGCUACAACUAGCAGAAUACCUAUAAAUCAGCAUGUACAAGUGUUGUUGGUCAAGCCAAGUAUCUGCUACUGCAAAAAACAACAACUUGUAAUAGUAUGUUAUGUAUGCAUUGGCCCAAGAGUUGGUCUUCAAAAGGACUUCAUGUUCUACAUGUUGUUGAGCACACAAAGUUGGUGGUUCUGUGCUUGUUUCCAAAAUCCGCAAGCAACCGAACAAAUAGGAGGUGGUGGGCCCUUGUUGAUAGAUACUCCUUUAGCUGCCAAUGUCUACACAUGAAUAGGCAUAAACCAAUUGGUUAGUUCCAAAGGCUGGCAAGUACGUUGAUAAGCUCAAACUACAUAGCACCACCUCAAGAAUCUUCUUUGUGCAAGAGCCGGAAUUACAUGAUAGUAUCAUCGAUCAUCAGACCAUGACACACAUAAGAACAUGUUCUUGCACAUAAAAAAGACAACUCAAUGAUAAAUAAAGAGUGUGAACAACUAAUGGUUUCCUUUGUGCAAACAAACCAAACACAUAGUCAUCAUAGUAUGAUUUAAGUGCCUGAUGGUACAAAGGAUUUGUGCUAACCUGAUCUCAGUUUUUCAGAGAUGUCUCAUCUUCAUAUGUAGCAAACCAUGCUUCACACACCAUUGCUGGACUGGUCAUGCAGCCCUUUUGGCCAAUAAAUCAACAACAAUAUCAGUCAUAUUAGUAACUACAUAAUGAACCAAACUAUUUCUAGUUCUUGGUUCAAUUUUUCAUUGGUGUUGAUGGUUCAAGCCUAGCUCAAUUCAAUUGACACUACAAAAGUUAGUGUACAACUAGCGAUCAAAAUCAAAUCGACAUAAUAGUAGAUACUAGAUGGAAAUGGUGGUCAGUACAGCAUAUUCUUUAGUAAAAAGUUCAAUUUUUUUAUUUUGUUGGAACUUAGCCACAGUCUUGCAUAAUUACAUAGCCAUGAUAAUAUCGAAGGGGAAAUGCCUAUAUAGUAGAAAAUUUUCAUUUAUCAGGCCUCCUGAGACGACAAUGUGCUUAAGACCACAGCCUCACUAACUGCAGUAACUACUCCCUCCGUUUCUAAAUAUAAGUCGUUUUAGAGAUUUCAAUACGGACUACAUACGGAUGUAUAUAGACAUAUUUUAGAGUGUAGAUUCACCCAUUUGACUCCGUAUGUAGUCCAUAUUGAAAUCUCUAAAAUGGCUUAUAUUUAGGAACAGAGGGAGUAGAUAAUACCCCGCGUGUUGCUGCGGUACAUUUUCUCGACACUAGAUAUUACGUAGUGAUGAGUACACAAAGGAAAAGAAAAAGAAAAAAAAAGAAAAAAAGAGCUCGGGAGCCGAAUCACCCUGUCUCUCAAAGUGGUCAUUUUAUAACAAGAGAAGGUUACUAUACUUGUUGUGUGUCCAUAGAUGCAUUCAUAAUAACUUGAGAUUCAACACAGCUUCUAAUGAGUAUCUCUUGUUGCUGCGUUCAUGUCAAACAAUUUCUAAACUUACUCUUUUUUUACCGAUUAGAAUGUCUAUAAUUCCUGGGUAGAUUAUGCAACUGUGUCGAAUUUAUAAUAACUAUGUACUUGAUAGUUCAGAAAUAAUGUUACAUGGUUAUCCCCGGGUAGUCUAUUGAUCUUCUGAAUAUGCAGAUUUAUAGUGAAAGAAACAUUUUUCUCUACAAUGAACAGGCAUUGCCAAUAUAUAAUAUUGGCAAUUCUUGAUGGAAGGAUGAGUUCCAGCACACAAGUAAAAUAAUAGUGGGAGAUAUAUAUAGUCAUAUAGAGGUAACUUGUUGGAGAGUAGGGGGUACAACGUCGGGUAGAUCCGAUAGUCCUCGAACUAGCAUGCGUGACAAGGUCGCCAUGGAUGGCGCUGCGCCGUCAUCCCGGCCGGACUGGCCAUGACCAUCAUGCCCGUUAGUCACGGCAUGGUUCCACUGGAGCGCUGGAACUAGAGAAGGGGGAGAAGAGGGGACACGGCAGGGGUAGUACUAGGGUGCAGCGGGGCACACAGUAGGGCGGAGAGGAG